rnacentral:rRNA from 1 species
GAUGAACGCUGGCGGCGUGCUUAACACAUGCAAGUCGAACGGGAAAUACUUCAUUGAGACUUCGGUGGAUUUGAUCUAUUUCUAGUGGCGGACGGGUGAGUAACGCGUGGGUAACCUGCCUUAUACAGGGGGAUAACAGUCAGAAAUGGCUGCUAAUUCCGCAUAAGCGCACAGAGCUGCAUGGCUCAGUGUGAAAAACUCCGGUGGUAUAAGAUGGACCCGCGUUGGAUUAGCUGGUUGGUGGGGUAACGGCCCACCAAGGCGACGAUCCAUAGCCGGCCUGAGAGGGUGAACGGCCACAUUGGGACUGAGACCCGGCCCCGACUCCUUCGGGAGGCAGCAGUGGGGAAUAUUGCACAAUGGGGGAAACCCUGAUGCAGCGACGCCGCGUGAAGGAAGAAGUAUCUCGGUAUGUAAACUUUUAUCAGCAGGGAAGACAGUGACGGUACCUGACUAAGAAGCCCCGGCUAACUACGUG